GCAGGAGAAAGGUCAAAGGAUGGUCCUGUGGUCCAAGGCGAACUGUGCAAAUAUCGUGGUCCGCAAUGGUGCGGCCCUUUGCGGGCCCUCGGCGUUCGACCCCUUCAUUCGGCUGCGAGGGCCCAAUCGCCGCUCAUCCCGUGGAAUCCCAUCCAAUCCGAGAAGGGAUUCCCUGCUAGCAGUGCGGGCCACAUUCGUGCGUCAGCUGCGGCGAGCGGCGGAGCCCGCUCCCAGGUUGGCGCCACUUGGAUGGCCGCGGAGGACGCCCCGGGGGCGCUGCCCCCUAACUGGGCGUCACGGAGGAGCAGCAGCCGCCACUGUCAGGCGGAAGAAGCCCCGGGGAGGUUUUGGAGGAGCUUCUGGAAGCAGCCCCCCCUCUUCCCCGCCCGCAGCCCCCAAAGCAGACAAGCAAGGGGAACUGGACCCACCUGGAGGGAGAGAGCCGGCAGGCGAGCCGAGGUGGCUGUGCCUUCGGUGCCCCCGCACGACAGUGGCAAGAAGCGGCUAUGAUUGUUUUUAUUAUUGGUUGUUAGCUGCCCUGAGCCCGGUCUUGGCUGGUGAGGGCGGGGUAUAAAGAAAAAAUUAUUAUUAUUGCCUCCGGAAGCAAAAAGUUCCUCUUAGCAUUUUUCAUUUGGGUGAAGAAGCUGUGAUUCCUGCAUUGCAGGGAGUUGGGCUAGACGACCCUUGAGAUCCCAUCCAACUCUACAAUGAUAUGAUUCUAUGAUGGGGAAUGCGAGUGGCGCUGUGGGUUAAACCACAGAGCCUACGGCUUCCCAAUCAGAAGGUCUGCGGUUCGAAUCCCCACGAUGGGGUGAGCUCCCGUUGCUCGGUCCCAGCUCCUGCCAACCUAGCAGUUUGAAAGCACGUCAAGUGCAAGUAGAUAAAUAGGUACCGCUCCGGCGGGAAGGUAAACGGCGUUUCCGUGCGCUGCUCUGGUUCGCCAGAAGCGGCUUAGUCAUGCUGGCCGCAUGACCUGGAAGCUGUACGCCAGCUCCCUCGGCCAAUAAAGUGAGAUGAGCACCGCAACCCCAGAGUCGGCCACGACUGGACCUAACGGUCAGGGGUCCCUUUACCUUUAUGAUGGGGAAGAGUCAUUGCUCCAUGAGGAGAGCGCCUGCCUUGAAUGUGCAAGGUCCCUGUCUACAUCCCCAGCUUCCUCUUCCUGAAGCUCUGGAGAGCCACUUCUAGUCAGUGUUUGGCAAUACAGAGAUGGGUGGACCAAGUGCAAGGCAGCUUCCUGUGGUCCUAUGGUUGGCCAUCGCUUGGGAGAGAGCCAGUGUAGUGUAGGUGGUUAAGAGUGGUAGACUCGUAAUCUGGUGAACUGGGUUCGCUUCCCCACUCUUCCACAUGCAGCUGCUGGGUGGCCUUCGGCUAGUCACACUUCUCUGAAGUCUCUCAGCCUCACUCACCUCACAGAGUGUUUGUUGUGGGAGAGGAAGAGAAAGAUUGUUAGCUGCUUUGAGACUCUUUAGGGUAGUGAUAAAGCGGGAUAUCAGAUCCAAAUUCUUCUUCUUCUUCGUCUUCUUCUUCUUCUUCUUCUUCUUCUUCUUCCUCUUCUUCUUCUUCUUCUUCAGCCCCAGUGUCCAUAACUGCAAAAAGCAGCUGUCUCCACUCUACCCUUCGAGGUGGUAAGGAGAGGAAGAUUGGGCCUGUUAAACCUGUAUUUUAAAUUGGUGGGUUUUUUUCCUAUUAUGUUUUUACUGUAAGUUUACUGGUGUUAGCCGCCC